rnacentral:lncRNA from 1 species
GGCAAUUUACAGUUGACAAGCUUUUGCAUACUAAAAUUCCAUUUUAACUAGGUGGAAGAUUACCUAUGGUGUAUCCACACACUUGAGUUUCUUAAUCUUGACAGAAGUCCAAGUGGACCUAGCCAGUGCUGUUACCUAAUACAUGGGAUUGACCAUGUAUUUCUCAAUAUUAACUCUCCAAUUUUCUUCAACUAAUGCAAUGAAGCAUCAACAUAAAAAGCCAUAACAUCUUAGGGCUUAUGAGGAUGAAGAUGAACUGGAAGUCCUUCAACUGGGGUGGGCAUAAGAUGCAUUCUACUUUCUUAUCAGGAAUCAGUAAAUCCCAUCGAAAUUUCUUAACUAUGUUUUGCAGAAAUGUAAGAAUAUCGAGUCUAGCAAACUCUUUACCCUAGCACAUCGGAGAUCCCCCUCCAACUGGAACAUAAGAAAAUGGGGUAGGUCCUGCCCUUUCAUAGCUCGAUGGAUCAAAUUUUAUAUUCUCUUCAAACAAGCUAGAAAGUGUAUUUGUGAAUAAGGCCUUCCUGUAUAACUGCUGCAACAGCAUCAUUAGGUCAUGAAUCAUUAGUUCAAAAGUGAAUCAAAAAGGGCCCCUUUGACAAUGCUUCUGAUUUUAUUUCUAGUAGAAGAGCUUCGUUAGAAAUCUACCCUAAACUAGCUUCCUCUAAAAGCUCAUCUAGGCAAACAAAGCACUUCCAAGAAAUUAUCCUAAUAUGUUCAAAAGCAUUUUCGUAGUCUGAAAAAUAGCUUUUGACUUUUCAAAAGCACCGCCAAACCGGUCCUAAAUUACUGUUACAGAAAUUCUUGAAAUUCUUUUUUACUUGUGAAUAAAGGGGGGAAGAAAAUUCCAGAAGUCUUGGAAAAUCUCAUAAAAGAAGUAAGAAUAAAUAAGAGAAAAAUUUAAGUACCUUCCAUCCCGUGGGAAUGUCAUAAACUGCUUACUUAAAAUCGACUAGUGCGUCUCUAAAAGCACCUAUUGUGGGUGGUGAUAGUCUAAUAGUUUCAGACAAUACAUUCUACUAGUACCUCAUCUUCUGUACAUCAUCCCACUGUGAAAACUCCCCUGCUUUGUAGGAUGAUUAGAAACAUAAAUCAUUAGGAGUAGUUAUGGCAACAAGGUGAAACGAAGGGUAUGUACAUUUACCUCUAAAAACAUUUUCACCAGUUCAAGGAAGUUGUCCAUGAUUCUUCAUCAGCAUAGUUAUGGCAACACUAGAAGUGUCGUGACCAGCCAGCUGAUUCAGACAUAAACUUGCCAUUUUCAUCAGGAUGUUGUGAAGCUGAAACAAUUUCC